UGGGGAAUUUUGGACAAUGGGCGAAAGCCUGAUCCAGCAAUGCCGCGUGUGUGAAGAAGGCCUUCGGGUUGUAAAGCACUUUUGUCCGGAAAGAAAUCCUUGGCUCUAAUACAGUCGGGGGAUGACGGUACCGGAAGAAUAAGCACCGGCUAACUACGUGCCAGCAGCCGCGGUAAUACGUAGGGUGCAAGCGUUAAUCGGAAUUACUGGGCGUAAAGCGUGCGCAGGCGGUUUGCUAAGACCGAUGUGAAAUCCCCGGGCUCAACCUGGGAACUGCAUUGGCGACUGGCAGGCUAGAGUAUGGCAGAGGGGGGUAGAAUUCCACGUGUAGCAGUGAAAUGCGUAGAGAUGUGGAGGAAUACCGAUGGCGAAGGCAGCCCCCUGGGCCAAUACUGACGCUCAUGCACGAAAGCGUGGGGAGCAAACAGGAUUAGAUACCCUGGUAGUCCACGCCCUAAACGAUGUCAACUAGUUGUUGGGGAUUCAUUUCCUUAGUAACGUAGCUAACGCGUGAAGUUGACCGCCUGGGGAGUACGGUCGCAAGAUUAAAACUUAAGGAAUUGACGGGGUCAUAGCUGUUUCCU
rnacentral:rRNA from 1 species